UUCAGAUCAUUUUGGAGAACUACUCUACGGUACUUGUCCAGCAGUUCCUCAGACCGGGUCGUGGUGACGUCAUUUGUACCUGUGUGGAGAACAAAGAAUUCGGAGGAAGAAGAAGAGGAGGAAGAGAUAACAAGAGGAACAGAAGAAGGAGAAGAAGAAGUACUCUCUCUCUCUCUCUCUCACACACACACACACACACACUCACA